CUCUCUCUCUCUCUCUCUGAAGCUCGAUUGAAUUAGAUUCACGAACACGAGUUGUGCAGUUUGGAUUCACUCAAAGAUGCCCCAUGCAUGUGUUUUAUGCAAGAAUGUUGGCGAUUGUAGGCCCCAAUUUUAUUUUUGGAUGGCGAUCGUAAUUUACGAGCUUGGUUUUGUCAAGGAUUAGGGACUUCAUUGAAUGGGCUCAGUGUCUUUUACUUGACUUGGUCUCCAGAUAUAUCCCCUUAGAUAGCAAUGAGAUAUUUGACAUAAUGAAUCUCCUUGAGGAUAGGCUUCAGCAUGCAAAUGGUGUUGUUGUUUUAGCAACAACCAAGGUGUUUCUACAUUUGACAAUGUCCAUGAUUGAUGUCCAUCAACAGGUGCCUAUUAAAAGAUUCCUUUGUUAUUCAUGUUUAAGUAGUAAUAAAGGAAUUUCAACCUUUUUCCCUUUUUUCUGUUAAAGUUUCAAUAAUGUUUACAGAUCUUUUAUAUUUUUAUUUAUAAAGAAGGUUCAUAGUGCUUAUGGAUCCUUCAGAGCCACUGCUAUUUGGAAAUGCGAGCCUUGUUCAUGCUAUGUGAUAUUUAUUGAGUCAUGAGAAAGUGCUAUUUCAUCUAAUGCAUUCUACAUCAUUGUGAUAUACCAUGACCAAAUUCCAUCUACACCUCAAGUUUCUUAUCUAUAUGAUUUUGCAAUUCAGCUCGCAUAUAUUUAGAUGAUCAAUUGCAUUGGUUAAAUGUUGAUGUGAUGGAAACUUUUUUAAAUGAGUAAAUGAAUUUUCUUCUUUUUUCUGAAAGUUGCUUUCCUUGUUCUUAUUGAUAAUAAUAAAAAAAGAACAACAAAAACAAAGAAAAAUAGGAGAGGCAAAGAAGUCUUGUCCCCAUGUUACCCUUGUCACUCUAGCAGUCUAGCUUUGUGAA